CACAGACGCAGGAUAAGGACUGUUUAUAUAGUGUGCUUAUACUAGUCUAGCGCAUAUCUAUUGAGAGAGGUCUGAAAUGAUGAAUUCUCAGAGGCAGAAGCUGCUGUGGCCAAAAAGAGGGAAGUUUUUAUUUUUAUUGGUUUGGUUUGUUAAAUUAGAAUCUAUCUUUUCAAUUUGUUCUUGUUGUCUAGUGGCUCAUGGGACUGGGAUCAACUAAUAUUAAGGAGCUGGGCAGCAAGAAUAAAAUGUAACCUCCCUGAAAGGAUGCGGUACAAUCUCAUGUCACCAAAGCCAAAACCAGCUAUUGGAAAAGAAGCACCUGUUGAAGUGGUACAAUGAAACAAUUAAAACUUUGUAGCUGCUGGAGACAAGUUUCUUUGGGAAUGCACCAGCUCAUUUGCAAACCAUCUUUCUGCUAGCAAUGAGCAAUUCCCCAAGUACUUGCUUCUGCCCACAGCUGACCCACAAUCAAUUGAUUCAGGAGCCACAGUUUAUCAGAGUUGGAUGGAGCAGACCAGGAAGUUUAUCAGCAUUCACAAUUUAUUAGACAGCAGUGGGGGAGGAUCGCAACCGAGUGUGGGAGUCCAUAAUUGGAGCUUGCUCUUUCAGACCUCCCAAACAGUGUAUUACGCCACUUCUGCUGCUGGACUUGGUUGCCAUGACGCAUGCAAGUACAGAGAACAGACUAAGUUGGAGGGAGUUGCACUGGGGAGUGAAAGGAAAAAGGUGUACAGGCUGUUUCUCCUGCCAGCCUCACAAUGCCAAGGUUUGAGGCUCUGGUUUUUGAUGAUUAGCCAAUACCAGCUGUUCUGGGGAUGAAGAUGUCUCAAAUCAAUUCUAUCCUGUCUGGCUUUCCAGGAAGAGGCUUUUUUUUUUUCCUUUCCCCUGUCAUCUGUGAUUGAAAUUUAUCAGAGCCAUUGCAAGCAGGAAAUUUGCUCCUUUACCAAGUGUGCUGUACUGUUCCUUGUUUUUAUUGUUUUAACAAUUUCCAGAAAAAAGGCACAAAACAAACCUACUUCCUCUUUAGAAAGUGUGGUUUUUAACCUCUGAGAUGCUGAUUUCACUAGCAGAAUUUUUUUUUUUUUUUUUUUAUCUAGGGUUAUUUGAAAAGUAUUUUCAGGAUCACCAGAUUAAAACCUCAGCCAAAAUUCAAUCUCUCUAAAGAAUGGGACUGCAGAACAACUUCAACCCUCAGAGCUUAAAGAUAAAUGCCUGAAUUCUACAUGUAGGUAUCAAUACUGUAAUGAGCUCCCCCAGAGAAAGAACAUCUAUGCAAAGCCCCUACAUAAAGGGGCAAACACAGAGAUCUUCCUGAGAAAAUGUGGUUUGUAAACACCAAAAUAGAGAUGACCCAGCUUUUCAAGGCAAAGGGAAAAACUGACUUAAAAUUUGAUGUAAAGUUUGGGUGCAUUAGUAUUUUUUUAUGUCCCUUCCAACACACACACGUCAGAACUGAUAGAAGACAAGGUUCUUUGGGUAAAUCUGAUACCUUUUUAUUAGACCAACUCAAAUAGUUGGAAAAAAUCUUCUUUGCAAGCUUUUGGGCAUAAAUACCCUUCGUCAGGCUGAGGAAGCAUCUGCAGUUGGUGUGUGCUCUUCCUGGAGGGAAUGAAUAGUAAAGAAGCCAGAGGCUGGGAUGCAUGCAAGAAAGGCAGUCAGUGAAGAUGUAAAUUGAGGAGUCGGUGGGUGAGAGACAGAUUGUGGGGGAAGGGGGCUGGAGAGGGGAAUGAAUGUCGCUAGUAAAUAGGGGAGAAGAUAAUCGUGUUAAAUAGUAAUAGUGGUAAAUAGUGGAGAACUGAUGGAAGAUACUCUGGGAUGUGCGGAAGAAAGAUUCUCCCUUAGUUCUCAGACAUUUUUGGUAUGCUUCAACAAUCAAAAUACAUCUUGCUUUUUUCCCUGAACAAAAUUCUAGCAAACAUAUAUACCCUACUGCAGGCCACAGGAAAACAAUGGGUCUCUUCAUAGCUGGGACUCAAGCUCAGGCAGUUAAACUAGGACCCAUGUCCAUUGAUCUCAGUGAAAAACCCUAAUAUAAGAGAGAGCUCUCAGACCACAUCCUGUCAUCAUUUUGCACUGAAAACCACUACUGAGGUCAGAAGUGUUGUGCGAAAAUUUAUGGCAGGAUACAGUCUGCUUAAUGGCCCUGUGAAGGUUGUCAAGCCCUAAACUAACCUUUCCUUCUCCAUCCUGAUCCUGCCAGUUCUCUAAAACUAGGUUUGCACAAGAUAUACAAUCUCCACGGGUUGAUCAGGCACAAACAACACAGGCAUUACGUUUAUAUACAACUGUGAGCACAGAUGGGAGGCAAACCUGUUACAUGACACACCGUCCCGUCUGAGUGUUUUUUGUUCUUAUAAGCAUGAGCUGGGCUAGGCUAGGUCCCUUUAACUUCUCAGGAGUGGGGAGCAAGGAAAGGAUGGCUGCCUCCAAUUUACCUUUGACUUAAGCAGCUGGAAGGGUUGCUAAUUAUUAUUUCAAGGGAACACCUGGGUGACUUUGUUAGCAAAUGUCUUUCACCUGUGACCAGCUGAGAUUCUUUCCUGGUUCACAAGUCAAAUUUUAGCACUGCUGAGCUGAGAGGGGCUGAAAGGUCUAAGUUUGAUGUCUGUAAGAGCACUGUUUCUUGGACCACCUGGUUCCAAUAAUAGCAAGGACAGGUCUGUCCUUUAGCUUUAUGAGAGAGAAAUUGAGCUCCCUUCAGCUUAUACAAAUCUUUCUGCUAGGACCUUAAGGACUGAGGUCCUGUAUGUUAUGAAUUAAAGUUAAAGGAUAGUUCACUGGCUAGAGUUUUUGAGUUAAAGGAAAAGGGUCCUGCUCAUAGCUUUGUCACUGCCUGACUGCUUGAUUUAGGUAAGUCACUUAACCUCUGUCUUUCUCAAUUUCCUCAUUUGCAUGAAAGGGAUAAUGAUUCUCAGCUGCCUUUUAUAUAAUACUUGGAGUCUAGUUAUGCACAGAUCUCCAUCUACAUGCUUGGCUCUGACCAUGUUCUUGGUAAAAGUGAGGGUUUGUCUUGGAGCCUUAGCCAAAAUGCUUCCUAUCCUCAGCACAGCUGCCACCCUCUGCACUAGAGAGAGGAUUAAAUUAGUGCACGGUGAAGUAAUCAUUCCACCCUUACACGCAUUGCUUACAUAAUGUACACAACUGCAUCUAAGCAAUAGUAAAUUUAGCUGAGGAUUGUGAGAUCCUGCUUUCAGGGCUAGAUCCAAUGAAGAACUUAGGUUCCUGAAUCCAAAAUGAUGGCCCAUAAACCUCUGAUCAGCUGCCUAUUCCUGGCUGCAUCUCCCUGUUUGACUUUAAAGAGUCUCAGGAACCUAAAAUUCUGCUUCUGUGCAUGUCCAGAACAACUACAAUUUGAACAGCUCGGUGACUAUCCCCCACCUCACCCCGAUCCAGGCUAGAAAGUAGGUAGUUCCCUGUCUCUAUCCCUAGAGGGGCCUGAUCUAGUAAAUAGGCUCAAAGCAUGGUUACCAGCCAACACCAACAGAGCUAUACAGUUACCUUUUGAUACAAUAGCCUUAUGGCUAGAUGACAUGACUAGGGUGAUGGAGGCCUGGGUUCAAUUCCUUCCCAGCUUCUUUGCACUGCACAGAAGAGUGCCCUAUCCACCUCCCAGCCUCUCUUAGACCUAGUGGGUGGAGGUGGAGCUCUCCCCUGCCUCCUGUGCUAUGGUAAAGGAAGAAAAUCAAGAUUUUCAUGUCAGAGUGAAAGAAGGCAAAAGGAGCAGCCUGUUCAGGUGGCCUGGUGGUUAGACAGCUCACCUGGAGUCAGUCCUGGCAUGCAGCUCCUGCUUUCUGGCUUGCUUCUGCAUUUUGCCAAACCUGUUCAAUGCAAAAUAAUGAAAUGGUCCUGGAAACAGGAAAGUUUUAGUAUUUUUAACUACAACACUAAUCUCCGAAUUGUGAAAUGAGUACACUGGUAAUAAAUGGCAUUUUCUAUAUCCUAGUUGUAAUAAG
rnacentral:lncRNA from 1 species